CCUACGGGUGGCUGCAGUGGGGAAUAUUGGACAAUGGGCGAAAGCCUGAUCCAGCAAUGCCGCGUGAGUGAUGAAGGCCUUCGGGUCGUAAAGCUCUUUUACCAGGGAUGAUAAUGACAGUACCUGGAGAAUAAGCUCCGGCUAACUCCGUGCCAGCAGCCGCGGUAAUACGGAGGGAGCUAGCGUUGUUCGGAAUUACUGGGCGUAAAGAGUACGUAGGCGGCUAUUCAAGUCAGAGGUGAAAGCCCGGGGCUCAACCCCGGAACUGCCUUUGAAACUAGGUAGCUAGAAUCUUGGAGAGGUCAGUGGAAUUCCGAGUGUAGAGGUGAAAUUCGUAGAUAUUCGGAAGAACACCAGUGGCGAAGGCGACUGACUGGACAAGUAUUGACGCUGAGGUACGAAAGCGUGGGGAGCAAACAGGAUUAGAUACCCCGGUAGUC
rnacentral:rRNA from 1 species